rnacentral:lncRNA from 1 species
GAGAGGCUGCAGAGAGAAAGUAAAGACCUGAUCGGAGAGAGUAGGAUGUGUUCGAAGAAGAAGAGAGGUAGAGAGAGAUACAUAUGAUGAGGAUGAGAAUGAACUUAAAGACGUAUGACCACGCCAAAUUCAAUGUUUCUCUUUGGUCUUUCUUCUCUGAGAUUCUUUUCAUUUGACUUUGUAUUUUACGGUAUUUGUUUCCUUUAGAUUACCUUAUAAUUAAUUAGCCACUGUAAAAUGAUAGUAAUAAAAAAUUGUUU